GUAGGACACUCUAUACGGAGUUACAAAGGACGACAUUAGACGAAUCAUCUGGAAAGAUGAAUCAAAGAAGGUAAUAAUCCUGUAGUCGAAAAUGUUGUCUCUCUUGAGUGGAUCCUGAGUACGACGGAGCACGUGAAAUUCCGUCGGAAUCUGGGAGGACCAUCUCCUAAGGCUAAAUACUCUCUAGUGACCGAUAGUGAACCAGUACCGUGAGGGAAAGGUGAAAAGCACCCCGGAAGGGGAGUGAAAUAGAACCUGAAACCGUGUGCUUACAAGUAGUCAGAGCCCGUUAAUGGGUGAUGGCGUGCCUUUUGUAGAAUGAACCGGCGAGUUACGAUUUGAUGCAAGGUUAAGCAGUAAAUGUGGAGCCGUAGCGAAAGCGAGUCUGAAUAGGGCGUUUAGUAUUUGGUCGUAGACCCGAAACCAGGUGAUCUACCCUUGGUCAGGUUGAAGUUCAGGUAACACUGAAUGGAGGACCGAACCGACUUACGUUGAAAAGUGAGCGGAUGAACUGAGGGUAGCGGAGAAAUUCCAAUCGAACCUGGAGAUAGCUGGUUCUCUCCGAAAUAGCUUUAGGGCUAGCCUCAAGUGAUGAUUAUUGGAGGUAGAGCACUGUUUGGACGAGGGGCCCCUCUCGGGUUACCGAAUUCAGACAAACUCCGAAUGCCAAUUAAUUUAACUUGGGAGUCAGAACAUGGGUGAUAAGGUCCGUGUUCGAAAGGGAAACAGCCCAGACCACCAGCUAAGGUCCCAAAAUAUAUGUUAAGUGGAAAAGGAUGUGGCGUUGCCCAGACAACUAGGAUGUUGGCUUAGAAGCAGCCAUCAUUUAAAGAGUGCGUAAUAGCUCACUAGUCGAGUGACACUGCGCCGAAAAUGUACCGGGGCUAAACAUAUUACCGAAGCUGUGGAUUGUCCUUUGGACAAUGGUAGGAGAGCGUUCUAAGGGCGUUGAAGCAUGAUCGUAAGGACAUGUGGAGCGCUUAGAAGUGAGAAUGCCGGUGUGAGUAGCGAAAGACGGGUGAGAAUCCCGUCCACCGAUUGACUAAGGUUUCCAGAGGAAGGCUCGUCCGCUCUGGGUUAGUCGGGUCCUAAGCUGAGGCCGACAGGCGUAGGCGAUGGAUAACAGGUUGAUAUUCCUGUACCACCUAUAAUCGUUUUAAUCGAUGGGGGGACGCAGUAGGAUAGGCGAAGCGUGCGAUUGGAUUGCACGUCUAAGCAGUAAGGCUGAGUAUUAGGCAAAUCCGGUACUCAUUAAGGCUGAGCUGUGAUGGGGAGAAGACAUUGUGUCUUCGAGUCGUUGAUUUCACACUGCCGAGAAAAGCCUCUAGAUAGAAAAUAGGUGCCCGUACCGCAAACCGACACAGGUAGUCAAGAUGAGAAUUCUAAGGUGAGCGAGCGAACUCUCGUUAAGGAACUCGGCAAAAUGACCCCGUAACUUCGGGAGAAGGGGUGCUCUUUAGGGUUAACGCCCAGAAGAGCCGCAGUGAAUAGGCCCAAGCGACUGUUUAUCAAAAACACAGGUCUCUGCUAAACCGUAAGGUGAUGUAUAGGGGCUGACGCCUGCCCGGUGCUGGAAGGUUAAGAGGAGUGGUUAGCUUCUGCGAAGCUACGAAUCGAAGCCCCAGUAAACGGCGGCCGUAACUAUAACGGUCCUAAGGUAGCGAAAUUCCUUGUCGGGUAAGUUCCGACCCGCACGAAAGGCGUAACGAUUUGGGCACUGUCUCAACGAG
rnacentral:rRNA from 1 species